AGAGUUUGAUCCUGGCUCAGGAUGAACGCUGGCGGCGUGCCUAACACAUGCAAGUCGAACGGAGUUAAACGCUGAACGGAAGUCAGCUUGCUGAAAGAAGUUCUUGUUUAACUUAGUGGCGGACGGGUGAGUAAUGUGUGAGCAACCUGCCUUACAGAGGGGGAUAACACUCUGAAAAGAGUGCUAAUACCGCAUGAAGCGACGUUAUCGCAUGAUGAUGUUGUUAAAGGAGCAAUCCGCUGG
rnacentral:rRNA from 1 species